UCUAGAUUUAGGUAAAGCAGUUCAGGGCCACCACUCGUAGAUGGGCAGGUUUGACACUGCACAGCCUACGGGGGGUGCCAUUUGCAGAGUAUGAGGUGAAUAACACACACACACACACACACACACACACACACACAUAUAUAUAUAUAUAUAUAUAUACAUGUAUGCCCUAAGCUGAAUUAGCAGGGCCUCCCCAUAAUGGAGGGUUUUUGUGUAACCCUGACCCUGGUCCCCGGGAGCUACUAUGACGUUGAGAGUCCUGAGCCUUUCAGAAGCUCCCUGGGAGUCACGCUCCUGCAUUUUGACAACUGAGUGAGACCCUCGGGCAAGCUGCCAGCUAUGCAGUCUCGUGUAGUAAAUCCCGUAGCAUAAUGCUGGACAUCCGACAAAGUCCCCUAGAAAUGCUAGUUGGUAUUAUUACUGUAGUGGAAUAGAGAAGAAACAUGGGUCAGAUCACCUCAUGGGAUUCAAGACUUUGACCCAAUCUCUGAGGUGGCUUGGCACAGAGCCAGCUUCGAUAGGAAGCUGACCCUGCCAUUUAUGGCCGGGGGAACAUGUCUGACAUCAGACCUUGCAAGGCUCUGUUGAGAAAUCAGUUGUGUGUCUGUCUUCUCCGGGAAGGUGACUUGUGAAUGUCUCUGAAGGGCUGGGGGAGGGGCCUUGAGUCGGGAAUGUGAUCUCUGUUUUACCCGCUCUCCCUCCCCAUCCCCACAUCUGUUCUAUUUUGAGCGGAUGGAAUGGUCAGGAGGAGGCUGAAAUGCAAGGCCACCUUCCUUUGGGCUAGGGGUCAGCAGGAGUUGGAGGGUCUUAGAAACUGGAAGCAUACACGGAGAGAGAGAGAGAGAGAGAGAGAGAAAGUAGAAUAUAUACCUUGUGCAAGGGAAAGACUCACCUUCACACACAAUUCUAAUUGCAAUGGGGCAUUUCUCAUCUCUGGUUUGGGCAGCUCGGCCAUCACUGCUUCUGGGCCAGUGGGCUUUACGCUUGAGUCUUGAUGAUACUCCUCUGGGACUCCAGAUUUCCAGGACCCCACCCUCAGCUAUUCAGAUUCGGUAGGACUGGGACCCUCCCCUUACAUCAACCUCGGGUUGGAGCGGUGAGUUGGAUACCUUCCAUGUAUCCACUCUCUGCCUUUCUUACCCUGCUCUAUGCAGUGGGAUGCUGACUGAUAAGGACUACCUAAAUGGAUUCCCCUGUCCUCUGGAUUCUGAGCUCAGCCAGCGGGACCCUAGUAGGAGAUGGGUGGGCUGAAACUUCAAGUCAGGGCAUUUAUUCCCCCCCCAGCUCUGUCUCUGCUAGUUGCUGGGAUUGGCUCCUGCUGGGCGGCCAUCAUCAUACAGCUUCCUCCCUGGGCUCCCGUAAUGUCACCCUUGCUUCACUCCUUAGACCUAGAGGCAGUGACAGCUCCCAACUGUUACUGGCUUUGGGGUGCUGCACCAUCACUCAUUUUCUUUUCCCCCGAGCCGUUUCCACAUGUUAUUACGCUCUCACCAGUCUGAUAAAACUCUCUCUCCUUGCCCAGCUUCAGUAUGCCACCUGGUCCUGCCAGGGCUCUGAGCCAUUCAGGGAUUGUCCAUAAAGCUGCCUUUUAAGCAAGGGGCCCAUCUUAAACAUGGAGAACUUUUAGAAAUACUGCUUUAUGGCCUUUUAUGCUCUCUAGUUCUUUUUCAGUCCCUUGGCGCUUAACUCAUUUGAGACCAAGGUGAUGUUUUGCAAAGGCAACUUUACCAGAAAAUGAAUUUAAAAAAAAAAAGACUGUUCAAUGGGAAAAUAUAAAA